GUGUGGAGUUACAGAUGAAAACAACCUUCUGCCUCGAGUGAAUAAAACCACAAAAGUUUUCAGUAAUUCUGAUGUAAGGUAGUGACCAUAGGUCAGUUCAUGAAGUGAUUCAAGGUCUAAUAAAGCAGCUAACUGAAUGUGCUCCCCUGUUUGAAUUAGUUUGCUUAGGGAUAAAAGUGACAACACCACAAGCUACAAUUUAUUUAUUUUUUUUGGUAUCUUUAAUAUAGAUAUAUGUAUAUAUACAAUAAAGUGAGGAUUCAAUUCAGUUAAAAAUGUCAGACCUAAGGAAGUAAAGGUUUUUAAUUGCUUUGAGAUUUUACAUUUUAAGCCAGAAAAAGGUAGUACAUACAUUUUUGACAAAAUAAAGACAUAUUUUGUUGCUUUAAUGGAGUUGUUUUAUUUUAAAAUAUAUAUUUUAAGCAGCUUAAAGUUCAGACUGAGUUUAUCAUCGUAUAGUGAUAAUGAUACUACUAAUAAUGAGUAUUAAACUGUAACAUUUACAUAUAAAGAAAAAAUAAUAGUCAUGUAGAAAAAUUCCAGUAGCUGAAACACAUUUCUUUUCAAUCUUUCAGUCUUUCUUCAGCCAAACAGCAGAUGUAAAACUUUAUUAUUAUUAUUAUUUGAAGUUGUUGUGUCUGUGUGAAGGUGUGGGCUCUGCUAUGAAUCAGUGUGAGGACAGAGAGGAGGGAGUCCCUCCCUCUAAAAGCACUCUGUGUGGGGAACAUGACACAAGGACCAAAGCUCAGAGGUGAGAUGAGGAUCUCUAACUGUCCAUGACUCUUCUCCAUGUCAGAGCUCAGCACUCAGAUCACUGCACCAUCAUUAUUCACACUCAAAGCUCUGUGUGUGUUGUGUCGAAGCCCAGAGCAGCAGAACACACCAGACUCUGCUGGACCUGAACCUGGACCUGAACCCAGCUGUGUGUCCAUUAAGAGUGACUGGUCUAUGGACACACCUAUGAAGUUCAAUGAUGGACUCUACUCUGCUAAUCAAUGGAUCCAGUGUCUUGUACCCACCUGUGUGUCCAUAAAGAGUGACAGAUCGAUGGAUCAACCAUUUUUCUUCAAAGAUAAGGAA
rnacentral:lncRNA from 15 species